UUACAUUAAGUGAAGUUGGAGGGUUGCGAGAAUUGGUUACCCGAGCUCUUGGCCCAAUACUUUUGACUUGUCCAAACAUACCAAUUCUCCUCCCACUUCUCUCGAUUGUUUGGAGGCAUUUGCAAACUGCUUUUAGCAUUUCUGGCUGGAGGAUAUCUUGUUAAUAGUAAUGGCCAAAAUCUGCUUCAAGUGGCUGCGUAAAACAUAUUCAGAAGAAAGGAGGACUAUGCAAAGGACGCUCUCCCUAAGACAUUUAGAAUCCUUUCCUUUAGCCUUACAACUUUUAGGAUCCUUUCCUUUAGCCUCCAAGACAUUUAGAAUUUGCUGGUUGUUUUAGCUUUAUUUACGUAUUUACAAUAUUUCUUACUUAUCGUCUUUACAUUCAAUGAUAUUUUGAAACUGAUGGUUAAUACGAUUUACAUUAAAUGAAGUUGGGGUACAUUAGGUGAAGUUCUAGGAUUGACAAGCUGACAGCGAAGGCUUCCUACC
rnacentral:lncRNA from 1 species